CAGCUGCGUGGUGAGCACAUAGCGAACUAUUCUUUCGCCUUUUACUAAAAAUACCGUGUGCGCGCCACAUAUCUGAUGAGCACCAACAAAUUAAUCUGUUAAAAUUUUUUCGUUUUGAGAUA
rfam:Oryza brachyantha chromosome 5, whole genome shotgun sequence.